rnacentral:rRNA from 1 species
AGUCACUGACAUUAGAUACCCGCGUAGUCCAGGGUGUAAACGCUGCAGACUUGGUGUUGGAAGUCCUUUGGGGGCAUUCAGUGCCGGAGAGAAGUUGUUAAGUCUGCUACUUGGGAGUACGUCCGCAAGGAUGAAACUUAAAGGAAUUGGCGGGGGAGCACCGCAACGGGAGGAGCGUGCGGUUUAAUUUGGAUUCAACACCGUAAAACUCACCAGGGAAGACUGUUACAUGAAAGCCGAGAUGAAGACUCUGCUAGAUUUUCAG